rnacentral:rRNA from 1 species
GGGGAUAUACUGGAUAGGCAAUUUUUCCUGUAAUGGUUUUUUGUUUAAAUGUUUUUUUCGCCUAAGGAUGGGUCUGCGGCAGACUAGGUAGUUGGUUAGGUAAUGGCUUACCAAGCCUUUGAUCUGUACGGGUUGUGAGAGCAAGAGCCCGGAGAUGGAACCUGAGACAAGGUUCCAGGCCCUACGGGGCGCAGCAGGCGCGAAACCUCCGCAAUGUGAGAAAUCGCGACGGGGGGAUCCCAAGUGCCAUUCUUAACGGGAUGGCUUUUCAUUAGUGUAAAAAGCUUUUGGAAUAAGAGCUGGGCAAGACCGGUGCCAGCCGCCGCGGUAACACCGGCAGCUCUAGUGGUAGCAGUUUUUAUUGGGCCUAAAGCGUCCGUAGCCGGUUUAUUAAGUCUCUGGUGAAAUUCUGCAGCUUAACUGUGGGAAUUGCUGGAGAUACUAUUAGACUUGAGAUCGGGAGAGGUUAGAGGUACUCCCAGGGUAGAGGUGAAAUUCUGUAAUCCUGGGAGGACCACCUGUGGCGAAGGCGUCUAACUGGAACGAUUCUGACGGUGAGGGACGAAAGCUAGGGGCGCGAACCGGAUUAGAUACCCGGGUAGUCCUAGCUGUAAACGAUGCGGACUUGGUGUUGGAAUGGCUUUGAGCUGCUUCAGUGCCGAAGGGAAGCUGUUAAGUCCGCCGCCUGGGAAGUACGGUCGCAAGACUGAAACUUAAAAGGAAUUGGCGGGGGAGCACCACAACGCAUGGAGCCUGCGGUUUAAUUGGAUUCAACGCC